ACUCAAAGGAAUAGACGGGGGCCCGCACAAGCAGCGGAGCAUGUGGUUUAAUUCGAAGCAACGCGAAGAACCUUACCUAGACUUGACAUCUCCUGAAUUACCCGUAAUGGGGGAAGCUCUUCGGAGCAGGAAGACAGGUGGUGCAUGGUUGUCGUCAGCUCGUGUCGUGAGAUGUUGGGUUAAGUCCCGCAACGAGCGCAACCCUUAUCAUUAGUUGCUACCAUUAAGUUGAGCACUCUAGUGAGACUGCCCGGGUUAACCGGGAGGAAGGUGGGGAUGACGUCAAAUCAUCAUGCCCCUUAUGUCUAGGGCUACACACGUGCUACAAUGGUAGGUACAACAAGAUGCAAGACCGCGAGGUGGAGCAAAACUGUAAAACCUAUCCCAGUUCGGAUUGAAGGCUGAAACUCGCCUUCAUGAAGCCGGAGUUGCUAGUAAUCGCGAAUCAGCAUGUCGCGGUGAAUACGUUCCCGGGCCUUGUACACACCGCCCGU
rnacentral:rRNA from 1 species